rnacentral:lncRNA from 1 species
UAAAAUAGAAAAAUAUUGAAAAUAAAUUAGUCUUCUUGUUCGCAGGAAAGAAAGACCGUUAUUUUAGGUGUCUUUGUGUUAUUUAUUGUACUACUAUCAGCCUGCAAUUACCGAGCAACUCGCGUCAUGGGGAACGCUAUAAUGGCCUCUUUAUUGGUAGCGGGAAUUACAUCCACGUUUCUCACUCACAUUCUCGUCUAUUUCCGUCUAGGGACUCCUCGUUUUCAACGGGCUCUUGGUGUACUACAUGUCAUCUUUUAAUUCGUUCAC